AAUUUAUGGGGGAGAUGCUUGGAAUAGAAAACUUAAGUGAAGUGUCCAAUCAUUUACUUACCUGUGUUUGUGUUGAGUGUUGACACUCCAACUCGCCCAUCAGGUCGCACUCCAACCAACCUUCCAAAUUUUGUGAACUUGCUUUGUUUGUACCUUUGUUAUCCGGUAUCUCUUUUUCCACUUUUUUUUAUUACAAGAAAAGUACAUGAUAAGAAGUUUCGGAUCUUAACAUUUCCCUAGCUUGG